UGCUGAGUGGCGCAGAGCUACCGCGCCCUGCCAGACUCGCCCCUUGGUCCAUGUCUGACGAGCUCUAGGCAACCUCCCCUCGUUCGGGACACAAACAUCGGUCUCACCCCUCAGUUUCUGCCAGAGAAAAAGGAAGAGUCACCAAGAGGCCUGACCCUGACGGGUGGGGGGAGAUGCGCGUACGGAGUAGCGGGAAGCGACUGAGGAACUGGGACUGGGCAGCAUUUGACUGGAUGCGGGUGCCGCUGGCACCCGGGAAGACGCCCGGGGGCCGGCGCUAGGGAGCCGGGCAUGGGCUGGGAUGUGUUUGAAUUCCAAUCCGGGCCUGACACCAGUUCAGUGACCUCGGGAAGUUCCCCAACCUUCCGGGCCUGUUUCCUCCCUCAAGUGGCGACAGUAAUAGAACCGACCUCGUAGGCUCAUCCGGAGGUCCUGAUGGGAGAACCCAUGCAACUUGCCACCACAGAGCCAGGCCCGCGGCGGCUGGCGCCUGGUGGGUAUUAAAGACGAGUCGGGAAAGAAGAGCAGGUUGAUAGACUGGAUGCUGCUAUGGUAAUCUGCCUCAGGAAAAUGCUGGACUGUUGUUUGCAAGCUGGUUAAGUGAGCAAAUCUUGGGAAGAUUUCAAGGUCUGACAGUCCUGCCAUUUCCUAACUUCUGCUGCGUGGUCAUCCACCUACCUUUGGGAACCUCCAGUCAUUAUCCACAGAGUUGGUCUCAUCCUGGGAACUCUCUCUUGCCUCUCCCAGUGGUUCAUUCUCCAAGUCUGAGUUAUUUGGUCAAAAAAAAACCCAAAUGCUUCAGACAACUCUCGCAAACUUGUCAUAGCUUUUGGUGUUCCAGGCCACAGAAGAGCCCAGGUGGGUACAUGGGCCCUCCAAGUGUUUGUUUCCUCACCACUGUGAGUGACAAAUAUGCUUCUUUAUCCUUAAAAUUGUCCAGCCAGUAACUGUUGGAACACGCUGACCUAGAUCCACACAUGCAAACACACCUUUCAAGGGCAAAUGUUAAUUCACAAAGACAAUUGUAAAAUCUAAACUAAAGUUCACAAAUGAGAGCUGCCUUUGAAGUGAAUUCAGCCCACAGACAUCUUUGAUUAGCACCCUGUGUUAUUGUUGUUGCUGUUUUAAAUUUUUUUUUUUUUUUUUUUGAGACAG